rnacentral:rRNA from 1 species
UGAUUGGUGCUUGCAUCAUGAUUUACAUUUGAGUGAGUGGCGAACUGGUGAGUAACACGUGGGAAACCUGCCCAGAAGCGGGGGAUAACACCUGGAAACAGAUGCUAAUACCGCAUAACAACUUGGACCGCAUGGUCCGAGUUUGAAAGAUGGCUUCGGCUAUCACUUUUGGAUGGUCCCGCGGCGUAUUAGCUAGAUGGUGGGGUAACGGCUCACCAUGGCAAUGAUACGUAGCCGACCUGAGAGGGUAAUCGGCCACAUUGGGACUGAGACACGGCCCAAACUCCUACGGGAGGCAGCAGUAGGGAAUCUUCCACAAUGGACGAAAGUCUGAUGGAGCAACGCCGCGUGAGUGAAGAAGGGUUUCGGCUCGUAAAACUCUGUUGUUAAAGAAGAACAUAUCUGAGAGUAACUGUUCAGGUAUUGACGGUAUUUAACCAGAAAGCCACGGCUAACUACGUGCCAGCAGCCGCGGUAAUACGUAGGUGGCAAGCGUUGUCCGGAUUUAUUGGGCGUAAAGCGAGCGCAGGCGGUUUUUUAAGUCUGAUGUGAAAGCCUUCGGCUCAACCGAAGAAGUGCAUCGGAAACUGGGAAACUUGAGUGCAGAAGAGGACAGUGGAACUCCAUGUGUAGCGGUGAAAUGCGUAGAUAUAUGGAAGAACACCAGUGGCGAAGGCGGCUGUCUGGUCUGUAACUGACGCUGAGGCUCGAAAGUAUGGGUAGCAAACAGGAUUAGAUACCCUGGUAGUCCAUACCGUAAACGAUGAAUGCUAAGGGUUGGAGGGUUUCCGCCCUUCAGGGCUGCAGCUAACGCAUUAAGAUUCCGCCUGGGGAUACGGCCGCAAGGCUGAAACUCAAGGAAUUGACGGGGGCCCC